UCGCGCCUGUCCCGCCGGACUCGUGCCUCUUCUGAGCCGCAGCCCCAGCCCCAGCCCGAAUCUCAAUCUCUGCGGCCGGCAGAGGAUGGAAGCCAGGAAGCCGAUUAGAAAGGAAGGUGAAGGAAACAAGAGUCAGAUAGUGGAAAGUGGGAGCUAAGGGAAGAGGUGGGCACGCCCGGGAAGGAAGGAGGGAAAAGGAAACUAGUGGGGGCAGGGGGGAAGAAAGGAGAAAGUCCGAAGUAAGCAUCCAGGUCCCAAAGCACAGCUCAGUGACCCCCGCUGCAAGUAGUAUUAAUGACACUUAAGCCCAGUUACGUGGAACCUGAGCCACCCGGCCUCAAAUACACGGGUUUCUGAACUGUUGGAGUGUGAGCGAGCAGGUGCCUGAAGCUCCAUACCUGAGACCGCCCCUGUUAACAGCUGUUUCAACCCGUUACUACACUUCAAUCCUCCCACUCCAACCUCUUCAUCUUUUAAUCAUUUCGGAAAAUGAAGCUUCCUACUUCACAACAAAAAAAAAGACUUUCAGAAGUACCAAUCACAACAGCUUGAAAAUUUGAAAACCUGAUCCUUCACCACAGGUGCUUUUGCUUGCAAGGUCAAAAUCGGAAGUUCAGGAAGAUCACCUGAAUCCAGAGCUUUUGAUUUCAGAAGCCUAGGUUCAUUGAGGAAAAGUAUGCUGACUUGUCCCAGAGGGUUAACAGGUGAAUGCUUUUGAGUAGAGGUGGGAGAAGCUGUCUGACAUAGAAGUUGAGCUUCUCCGGUACCAGAGAGGAGAUGGGAGUAAUGGUAGAUUCCAUGAGCAUCAAGGACUACUUUUGCUGCCUUUUAGUGUCCUAAAGAAGAUACAAGAUCUCAAGAGAGAAUGGAGACAUGGUACACUUAAGAAAGUCUGAAUACUAGUCCAUGAGGAUGCCAACCUCAGCCAAAACACCCCACUAUCACCACCAAUGUGCAAGGGUGGCACAGAAGCAGCUACCCUGUCUAACUUUAAGGGGAUUUGCCUGACAAACAUAUCAACAAUAUUGGGUAUGCACAAAAGGGCAUAGGGCCUACACUGAAAGUUAUGUUCUGGAUAUCAUUUGCUAGGGUCUUCAUACAACCUUGACAAAGGGAGAUAAAAACCAUGAGUGAGAUGGAAUUUUUAGCCAGCUAGAAAGGUGAAAGUUUCCGAGCAGAUUGUUGUAGGGAUAUAAAGAAAUGUGACAUUUUUUGCCAGUUAAAAUGGCGAUCAUAAAAAAGUCAGGAAACAACAGGUGCUGGAGAGGAUGUGGAGAAAUAGGAACACCAGCAAUCC